rnacentral:miRNA from 1 species
CACUACCGUUAGUUGACCGUUAAG